UACGGAGGGUGCAAGCGUUAUCCGGAUUCACUGGGUUUAAAGGGUGCGUAGGCGGGUUGGUAAGUCAGUGGUGAAAUCUCCGGGCUUAACUUGGAAACUGCCAUUGAUACUAUCAAGCUUGAAUACCGUGGAGGUCAGCGGAAUAUGUCAUGUAGCGGUGAAAUGCUUAGAUAUGACAUAGAACACCAAUUGCGAAGGCAGCUGGCUACACGAAUAUUGACACUGAUGCACGAAAGCGUGGGGAUCAAACAGG
rnacentral:rRNA from 1 species